rfam:Bombyx mori DNA, contig: Bm_scaf73_contig31392, strain: p50T/Dazao, build 2, whole genome shotgun sequence.
UUAACUCAAAUUUGUAUGGAAUUGGAACGUUUGCCUACGUUUGCCGCUAGGGGCGCUGUUCCAACUCCAUACAAAUCAGAGUUA